GACGUAGGGCGCGAGCGUUGUCCGGAUUUAUUGGGCGUAAAGAGCUCGUAGGCGGCUUGUCGCGUCGAAUGUGAAAACUCGGGGCUCAACUCCGAGCUUGCAUUCGAUACGGGCAGGCUAGAGUUCGGUAGGGGAGACUGGAAUUCCUGGUGUAGCGGUGAAAUGCGCAGAUAUCAGGAGGAACACCGGUGGCGAAGGCGGAUCUCUGGGCCGAUACUGACGCUGAGGAGCGAAAGCGUGGGGAGCGAACAGG
rnacentral:rRNA from 1 species